UGUGAGACAGGUGCUGCAUGGCUGUCGUCAGCUCGUGUUGUGAAAUGUUGGGUUAAGUCCCGCAACGAGCGCAACCCUUAUCCUUUGUUGCCAGCGGUCCGGCCGGGAACUCAAAGGAGACUGCCAGUGAUAAACUGGAGGAAGGUGGGGAUGACGUCAAGUCAUCAUGGCCCUUACGACCAGGGCUACACACGUGCUACAAUGGCGCAUACAAAGAGAAGCGACCUCGCGAGAGCAAGCGGACCUCAUAAAGUGCGUCGUAGUCCGGAUUGGAGUCUGCAACUCGACUCCAUGAAGUCGGAAUCGCUAGUAAUCGUGGAUCAGAAUGCCACGGUGAAUACGUUCCCGGGCCUUGUACACACCGCCCGUCACACCAUGGGAGUGGGUUGCAAAAGAAGUAGGUAGCUUAACCUUCGGGAGGGCGCUUACCACUUUGUGAUUCAUGACUGGGGUGAAGUCGUAACAAGGUAACCGUAGGGGAACCUGCGGCUGGAUCACCUC
rnacentral:rRNA from 1 species